UCGGGAAUUUUGGGCAAUGGGCGCAAGCCUGACCCAGCAACGCCGCGUGAAGGAUGAAAUCCCUCGGGAUGUAAACUUCGCAAGAACGGGAAGAAUAAGUAAGGGUUAAUAUCUCUUACGAUGACGGUACUGUUUGUAAGCUCCGGCUAACUCCGUGCCAGCAGCCGCGGUAAUACGGGGGGAGCAAGCGUUGUUCGGAUUUACUGGGCGUAAAGGGCGCGUAGGCGGCCACCGCAAGUCGACUGUGAAAUCUCCGGGCUUAACCCGGAAAGGUCAGCCGAUACUGCGGGGCUAGAGUGCAGAAGGGGCAACUGGAAUUCUCGGUGUAGCGGUGAAAUGCGUAGAUAUCGAGAGGAACACCUGUGGCGAAAGCGGCGCACUGGACCACAACUGACGCUGAGGCGCGAAAGCUAGGGGAGCAAAC
rnacentral:rRNA from 1 species